UACGGAGGAUGCAAGCGUUAUCCGGAAUGAUUGGGCGUAAAGCGUCCGCAGGUGGCUGUGUAAGUCUGCUGUCAAAGAGCAAAGCUCAACUUUGUAAAGGCAGUGGAAACUACACGGCUAGAGUGCGUUCGGGGCAGAGGGAAUUCCUGGUGUAGCGGUGAAAUGCGUAGAGAUCAGGAAGAACACCGGUGGCGAAGGCGCUCUGCUAGGCCGCAACUGGACACUGAGGGACGAAAGCUAGGGGAGCGAAUGGG
rnacentral:rRNA from 1 species